GAGAAGACGGUGGCACUGGCCACCGUCUGGUCUCCAGAUUUAAUCUGGAUCGUUCAUUCAUUUUCCUAGAUGCAAUCACGUGCGUUCAUUGUUAUGACUUUUCAUUUGCCAUGGUGUGAUGCGUUUGACCCACGUGUAUGGUGAACACGCGCUUCCUAGCCGUGUGAUGAUCCACGUCAAUUAAUGAAUCACCAUCAGACGGCUCCCGCUUUUUCUAUUUUUCAUUUUUCUGAUUUUUAUUUCUUUUAUUUUC
rnacentral:lncRNA from 1 species